rnacentral:rRNA from 1 species
GCCCAGCCGUAAACUUUUAAUUACAUCCGAACCGCCCGGGAACUACGAGCAAAGCUUAAAACCCAAAGGACUUGACGGUUCCCCAUAUCCCCCUAGAGGAGCCUGUCCUAUAAUCGAUGAUCCACGUUUAACCUCACCAUUUUUAGUAUAUUCAGCCUGUAUACCUCCGUCGCCAGCUCACCACGUGAGUGAAACAUCAGUGAGCUAAACGGUUACCCCCCCCAUACGUCAGGUCAAGGUGCAGCUAACAAAAUGGGAAGAGAUGGGCUACACUUUCUAACUUAGAAGACACGAAAGACUAUAUAUGAAACCUAGUCGAAAGGCGGAUUUAGUAGUAAGAAGGGACCAGAAUGCCCUUCUUAACCUGGCACUGGGGCGCGUACACACCGCCCGUCACCCUCUUCAAAGCCAAAUAACAGUUCUUAACCCCUGCCUGCGUAAAAGAAGAGGCAAGUCGUAACAUGGUAAGUAUACCGGAAGGUGUGCUUGGAAAC